rnacentral:rRNA from 1 species
UCCUACGGGGCGCAGCAGUAGGGAAUCUUCCACAAUGGGCGAAAGCCUGAUGGAGCAACGUCGCGUGGGUGAAGAAGGUCUUCGGAUCGUAAAACCCUGUUGUUAGAGAAGAAAGUGCGUGAGAGUAACUGUUCACGUUUCGACGGUAUCUAACCAGAAAGCCACGGCUAACUACGUGCCAGCAGCCGCGGUAAUACGUAGGUGGCAAGCGUUAUCCGGAUUUAUUGGGCGUAAAGGGAACGCAGGCGGGCUUUUAAGUCUGAUGUGAAAGCCUUCGGCUUAACCAGAGUAGUGCAUUGGAAACU